rnacentral:piRNA from 1 species
UUACUUGUGCUAGAAAAAUGU